rnacentral:rRNA from 1 species
AAACUAACAAGGAUUCCCCUAGUAACGGCGAGUGAAGCGGGAAGAGCUCAAAUUUGUAAUCUGGCACUUUCAGUGUCCGAGUUGUAAUCUCGAGAAGUGUUUUCCGCGCUGGACCGCAUACAAGUCUGUUGGAAUACAGCGUCAUAGUGGUGAGAACCCCGUAACUGAUGCGGAUGCCCAGUGCUUUGUGAUACACUUUCGAAGAGUCGAGUUGUUUGGGAAUGCAGCUCAAAUUGGGUGGUAAAUUCCAUCUAAAGCUAAAUAUUGGCGAGAGACCGAUAGCGAACAAGUACCGUGAGGGAAAGAUGAAAAGCACCUUGGAAAGGGAGUUAACAGUACGUGAAAUUGUUGGAAGGGAAACGCUUGAAGUCAGACUUGCUAUGUGGAUUUAUUCGCUUCGCAGGCCAGCAUCAGUUUCUGGGGGUGGAAAAGGGUUUGGAGAAGGUAGCAACUCCGGUUGUGUUAUAGCUCCUUGCUGGAUUCAUCUUUGGGGACUGAGGAACGCAGCGCGCUUUUUGCAAGGCUUUCGAGCUUUUCGCGCUUAGGAUGCUGGUGGAAUGGCUUUAAACGAC